GGAGGCCUGUGAUGAUCUUCUUACAGUCUUGCCUACAUUGCCUGACUAUACGUAUGAUUAUGUCAUCGACUUUCCGAGGCUCUC